rnacentral:rRNA from 1 species
AGCUCCAAUAGCGUAUGUUAAAGUUGUUGCAGUUAAAAAGCUCGUAGUUGGAUUUCUGGUUGGAGGGAUCGGUCCAGCACUCUGUGUGGGAGCUUGUAUCCUCUCCGGCCAUCCUUGGGUGGAUCUUGUCUAGCAUUAAGCUGUCAGUCAGGGGAUGCCCAUCGUUUACUGUGAAAAAUUAGAGUGUUCAAAGCAGGCUUAUGCCAUUGAAUAUAUUAGCAUGGAAUAAUAAGAUAGGGCCCUGUUACUAUUUUGUUGGUUUGCGUACCGAGGUAAUGGUUAAUAGGGACAGUUGGGGGUAUUUUUAUUCAGUAUCCAGUGGUGAAAUACUUAGACCUACGGAAAACAAACUACUGCGAAAGCAUUUACCAAGGAUAUUUUCA